rnacentral:tRNA from 1 species
GCGGGGGUAGCGAAGUCUGGCCAAACGCGCAGGACUUAAGAUCCUGUUCCUUAGUGGAUCCGAGGGUUCAAAUCCCUUCCCCCGCA